rnacentral:rRNA from 1 species
GAUGAACGCUAGCUACAGGCUUAACACAUGCAAGUCGAGGGGUAACGAGAGGGAAGCUUGCUUUCCUUGUCGACGACCGGCGCACGGGUGAGUAACGCGUAUCCAACCUGCCCCCAACUAGGGAAUAACCUUGCGAAAGUAAGACUAAUACCCUAUAAUUUCCUCAGAUGACAUCUGACGAGGAAUAAAGAUUUAUCGGUUGGGGAUGGGGAUGCGUCUGAUUAGCUUGUUGGCGGGGUAACGGCCCACCAAGGCAACGAUCAGUAGGGGUUCUAAGGGUAAGGUCCACCACAUUGGAACUGAGACACGGUCCAAACUCCUACGGGAGGCAGCAGUGAGGAAUAUUGUUCCAUGGGCGGAAGCCUGAACCCGCCAAGUAGCGUGCAGGAUGACGGCCCUAUGGGUUGUAAACUGCUUUUAUACAGGAAUAAAGUUAGCCACGUGUGGUUAUUUGUAGGUACUGUAUGAAUAAGGACCGGCUAAUUCCGUGCCAGCAGCCGCAGUAAGAC